GACGAACGCUGGCGGCGUGCUUAACACAUGCAAGUCGAACGGAAGGGCCCUGCGUUUGUGGGGUGCUCGAGUGCCGAACGCGUGAGUAACACGUGAGUAACCUGCCCUUGACUUUCGGAUAACUUCACGAAACUGGGGCUAAUACCGGAUAGGAGCUCCUGCUGCAUGGGGUGGGUUGGAAAUUUUCGGCGUUGGGGGAUGGACUCGCGGCUUAUGAGCUGGUUGGUGGGGUAGUGGCUUACCAAGGCUUUGACGGGUAGCCGGCCUGGGAGGGGGACCGGCGACAAUGGGACUGAGGUACGGACCAGACUCCUACGGGAGGCAGCAGUGGGGAAUAUUGCACAAUGGGCGGAAGCCUGAUGCAGCAACGCCGCGUGCGGGAUGACGGCCUUCGGGUUGUAAACCGAUUUCGCCUGUGACGAAGCGUGAGUGACGGUAAUGGGUAAAGAAGCACCGGCUAACUACGUG
rnacentral:rRNA from 1 species